rnacentral:rRNA from 4 species
GUGCUUAACACAUGCAAGUCGAACGGAAAGGCCCCUUCGGGGGUACUCGAGUGGCGAACGGGUGAGUAACACGUGGGCAAUCUGCCCUGCACUUCGGGAUAAGCCUGGGAAACUGGGUCUAAUACCGGAUAGGACCUUUAGACGCAUGUCUUUUGGUGGAAAGCUUUUGCGGUGUGGGAUGGGCCCGCGGCCUAUCAGCUUGUUGGUGGGGUGAUGGCCUACCAAGGCGACGACGGGUAGCCGGCCUGAGAGGGUGUCCGGCCACACUGGGACUGAGAUACGGCCCAGACUCCUACGGGAGGCAGCAGUGGGGAAUAUUGCACAAUGGGCGCAAGCCUGAUGCAGCGACGCCGCGUGGGGGAUGACGGCCUUCGGGUUGUAAACCUCUUUCACCAUCGACGAAGGUUCGGGUUUUCUCGGAUUGACGGUAGGUGGAGAAGAAGCACCGGCCAACUACGUGCCAGCAGCCGCGGUAAUACGUAGGGUGCGAGCGUUGUCCGGAAUUACUGGGCGUAAAGAGCUCGUAGGUGGUUUGUCGCGUUGUUCGUGAAAUCUCACGGCUUAACUGUGAGCGUGCGGGCGAUACGGGCAGACUAGAGUACUGCAGGGGAGACUGGAAUUCCUGGUGUAGCGGUGGAAUGCGCAGAUAUCAGGAGGAACACCGGUGGCGAAGGCGGGUCUCUGGGCAGUAACUGACGCUGAGGAGCGAAAGCGUGGGGAGCGAACAGGAUUAGAUACCCUGGUAGUCCACGCCGUAAACGGUGGGUACUAGGUGUGGGUUUCCUUCCUUGGGAUCCGUGCCGUAGCUAACGCAUUAAGUACCCCGCCUGGGGAGUACGGCCGCAAGGCUAAAACUCAAAGGAAUUGACGGGGGCCCGCACAAGCGGCGGAGCAUGUGGAUUAAUUCGAUGCAACGCGAAGAACCUUACCUGGGUUUGACAUGCACAGGACGCGUCUAGAGAUAGGCGUUCCCUUGUGGCCUGUGUGCAGGUGGUGCAUGGCUGUCGUCAGCUCGUGUCGUGAGAUGUUGGGUUAAGUCCCGCAACGAGCGCAACCCUUGUCUCAUGUUGCCAGCGGGUAAUGCCGGGGACUCGUGAGAGACUGCCGGGGUCAACUCGGAGGAAGGUGGGGAUGACGUCAAGUCAUCAUGCCCCUUAUGUCCAGGGCUUCACACAUGCUACAAUGGCCGGUACAAAGGGCUGCGAUGCCGCAAGGUUAAGCGAAUCCUUUUAAAGCCGGUCUCAGUUCGGAUUGGGGUCUGCAACUCGACCCCAUGAAGUCGGAGUCGCUAGUAAUCGCAGAUCAGCAACGCUGCGGUGAAUACGUUCCCGGGCCUUGUACACACCGCCCGUCACGUCAUGAAAGUCGGUAACACCCGAAGCCAGUGGCCUAACC